rnacentral:lncRNA from 1 species
UAUGACCGGCGUCUCUUAUCAGAGGAAAAAGCCCAUUAGUGGCUAAUGAAGGAGCCGGCAGUAGACAGGGCUUAAGGCCCAAGUUAUUAUUAUUUCCUAGUUGAGAGAUAGUUGUUUCCUAAUAUAGGGAGAGGAGAGUUAUAUAUACUUGGCUGUAAAGACUUUUUGGAUUUUAAGCAAGAGCAAUCUAUUAUUGCUCGGCUUCCUGUAGGGAGCCGGGAGACCUAAUUGUGCCCUAACCGCCACCUCCCUUCCCUCAUCUCGCUCAGCCACGGCGCCCAGGCGCCGACCUCCUUCCCCUCCGGCAGUUCACCACUACAAUCUCAGGUCCCUCGCCGGUAGACCCCGAAGUUCUACCAAUCUGGUAUCAGAGACCUCAGGAUCGAUGUCUCAGCCGCCUGUCUUCCCCACGCAGCCGCCGGCUACCUCCCAGCCGCCGGUGCUGCCCACCACCACGCAGCAGCCGCAGAUCACAGCCACCACCACGCAGCCGCCAGCGCCUCCUUCCUCAACAUCAGGCUUGGUGCUCGCCGGCACGUCUGGGUCCCCAUCAGCACCACCAGCGCAGUCCCCCGUCAGGCCCCUAACGUUCGAGCAACUGACCAUGGCCGUCCUGGACUUGGGGCAGGCAGUGGCUGGUAUUCGCUCCUUCCUGGCGGGAUCCUAUGCGCCGCAGCCGCCCCAAUUCCCGCAUCCGCCGCUACUGUCGCCGCCAUACUCACAGCCGGCUGUCACCAACGCCUAUGCAUAUGGGAUGCCCUAUGAGGGAUCGUCCUCCUACUACCCGCCGGUGUCUGCCCCAGCGUCGCAGGGAGUCCCGAUCACUCAGCUCAGGUUUCCUGCGUCCCCCUCGCCGCUUCCGGCUUGGCUUCUCGACUCUUCGGCACCGCCCGUCUACACGCAGGCGACCACGGUCCAUGAACCGCUGCCUGCGUCAACAUCCAGCGUCAUGCAUGGUGGCGUCCCUGCACCGGACGUCCUCUACGGCAGUGUCGACGGGAGCCUCUUCCAUGGGGGUACGCUACUGCCGGCAUCAGCACCAGCAGGGGGCGCCCCAUACGCUGCUGCCCCUGCGCACGGGCCGCCCUUCGCCGCUGCACCAUCUGCUGCGGGGACAGCAGCCUACGCCGCCGCUCCGGAGCCUCCACCGCCGAAGUUCUACAAGCUGGAGUUCAUGACCUAUGAUGGCUCCGUCGAUCCCCUGAAUUGGCUCAACCAUUGUGAGCAAUUCUUCAGGGGACAGCGCACCUUGGCGUCUGACCGCACCUGGCUCGCCUCCUACCACCUCAGGGGAGAAGCACAGACGUGGUACUACGCCCUGGAACAAGAUGAAGGCAUGCCGUCAUGGGAGCGUUUCCGUGACCUAUGUCGUCUUCGCUUUGGUCCACCGCUGCGGGGUAGUCGCUUGGCCGAGCUGGGCCGGUUACCCUUUCAGUCUACUGUGCAGGAGUUUGCAGGCCGUUUCCAAGCAGUGGCCUGUCAUGCCCAAGGGGUGUCGCCCCGCCAGCGCGCCGAACUCUUCGUUGGGGGGCUGCCUGAACACCUUCGGGUGGACGUGGAGAUGCGCGACCCCCCGGACCUGCAGACAGCAAUGUACUACGCUCGGGCCUUCGAGCGCCGGGCGGCUGCCAUGCAAGCGCUCCCUCCGGCGCGUGCUGCUCGGCCGCCUCCGCGCCCUGCAGGCCGCGCACCUGCAGCGCUGCCAGCACAGGACGCCCACGGGGCUGCUGCGGGCAAUGCAGCCCCGGCACGUCCUUUCCGCCGCCUCACACCAGCUGAGCAGGCGGAGCGUCGUCGCCAGGGCCUCUGCUACAACUGUGAUGAGCCUUAUGUGCCCGGGCACGUGUGCCAGCGGCUGUUCUACCUCGACGUCGACGACUAUGUAGUGGAGGACGCCGUACCGGUCGGCGACGCGGCAGCAGCUGCUGCACUGAGGGAGGAACCUGCCGCCCCGGAGCUACCUAACGCUAAUGCUUUUGUCGUCUCGCUCCAUGCUGUGGCAGGUAUCCGGACAGAGAACACCAUGCUGCUCCCUGUUUUGGUGAAAGGGGAGCGCCUGCUGGCCUUGCUGGACACAGGCUCCACCCAUAAUUUCCUCCGGGGCACGACAAUGCGCCGCCUCGGUCUCUCUCCGGCGGGAGGGGAGCAGCUCCGUGUCACUGUCGCCAACGGCGACCGGCUGCCCUGCGAGGGGAUUGCCCACGACGUCCCUAUCAGCAUCGCGGGCGAGGUCUUCUCCAUCACCUGCGUCGGUCUGGACCUCGGCAGUUUCGACCUUAUCCUUGGGGUGGACUACCUCAGGACGUUGGGUCCCAUCCUCUGGGACUUUGGGGCCAUGACGAUGGCCUUCUCGCGACAAGGCCGGCGCAUCCUGUGGAGGGGUGUAGGCGGCUCUGCUGGACCAGCACACACAGCUGCUGUCACCACCGACAUCCAGCAGCCGCUGCUGGACCGUCUUCUCCACCAGCACGCUGCCAUCUUCGAGGAGCCGCAAGGUCUGCCACCAGCCCGGCCGUACGACCACCGGAUUCACCUGCUGCCAGGCACGCCGCCGGUGGCGGUCCGGCCAUACCGCUAUCCCCAGCUGCAGAAGGACGAGCUGGAACGGCAGUGCGAAGCCAUGUUGACCCAGGGUAUCAUCCGGCCUAGCACUUCGCCGUUCUCUGCGCCGGUGCUCCUGGUCCGCAAGGCGGACAAGUCGUGGCGUUUCUGCAUCGACUACCGCGCCCUUAACGCCAAGACUUCCAAGGACAAGUUCCCCAUCCCGGUGGUGGACGAGCUGCUCGAUGAACUUCACGGAGCGCGCUUCUUCACCAAGCUCGACUUGCGUUCGGGCUAUCACCAGGUGCGCAUGCACCCUGAGGACGUGGCCAAGACGGCGUUCCGCACCCACCACGGCCACUACGAGUUUCUGGUGAUGCCGUUCGGUCUCUCCAACGCCCCCGCGACGUUCCAAGCAUUGAUGAACGACGUCCUGCGCCCAUACCUGCGCAGGUUUGUGUUGGUGUUUUUCGAUGACAUUUUGAUCUACAGUGCCACGUGGGCGGAGCACCUUCAGCACAUCGCCAUCGUCCUCAACGAGCUUCGGGCGCACCAGCUCCACCUUAAGCGCUCGAAGUGCUCGUUCGGGGCGACGUCCGUGGCCUACCUAGGCCAUGUCAUCUCCGCCGCCGGCGUCGCCAUGGAUGCUGACAAGGUGGCAGCCGUGGCUGCUUGGCCGGCGCCUCGCUCUCCUCGGGGCCUCCGUGGUUUCCUCGGGCUGGCGGGAUACUACCGGAAGUUCAUCCGGGAAUUCGGCCUCAUCGCGGCGCCCCUCACACGCCUCCUGCGCCGCGACGCUUUCGCCUGGGAUGACGAUGCAGAGGGGGCCUUCCAGGCGCUCAAACGCGCCCUCACCACCGGGCCCGUGCUCCAGAUGCCCGACUUCGACAAGCUGUUCAUGGUGGACUGCGAUGCAUCCGGUGCGGGAUUCGGUGCCGUCCUACACCAAGGUGCCGGGCCCCUCGCUUUCUUCAGCCGACCGUUCGCCGCGCGCCACCUCAAGCUUGCGGCAUACGAACGGGAGCUUAUUGGACUGGUGCAGGCUGUCCGCCAUUGGCGCCCGUACUUGUGGGGGCGCCACUUCUUGAUCCGCACUGACCACUACAGCUUGAAGUUUCUCUUGGAUCAGCGUCUCUCCACCGUUCCGCAACAUCAGUGGAUCAGCAAGCUGUUUGGCUUCGACUUCACCGUGGAGUACCGCCCCGGCCGCCUUAAUACCGUGGCGGAUGCUCUUUCCCGCCGUGACGCCGAGUUGGACGGCCCACAGGAGGGCGGGGGCGCUGUGGUGAGCACCCUCUCCGGGCCUUCCUUCGUGUUCAUCGCCGACAUCCGCCAAGCCACGACGGUUGCUGCUGAUGCGCUGCAGCUCCUGGAGCGCCUUGCUGCUGGUGAGCUGCAGGGCCCCUGGCGCCAUGAAGAUGGGCUGCUCCUGCACGGGCGCCGCAUCUUUGUUCCUGACCAUGGUGAUUUGCGCCAUCAGGCCCUCCUACUGGCACACUCUGCUGGCCACGAGGGGGUACAAAAGACCCUUCACCGACUCCGGGCUGAGUUCUAUAUACCCGGUGACCGCUCCUUGGUGCAGGAUUGGGUGCGCUCAUGCAGCACUUGUCAACGUAACAAGACACAAGCCUUGCAGCCGGCAGGACUGCUACAGCCCCUAGACGUUCCGUCUCAGGUGUGGGCCGACAUCUCGAUUGACUUCAUCGAGGGGCUGCCCAAAGUGGGCGGCAAGUCCGUUAUCCUCACGGUGGUCGACCGUUUCUCCAAGUAUGCGCAUUUCAUUGCGCUCGGCCACCCCUACACGGCUGCCUCCGUCGCGCGCGCUUUCUUCGACGGCGUCGUCCGGCUACACGGGUUCCCUUCUUCCAUUGUCAGCGACAGGGACCCCGUGUUCACCGGCCAUGUUUGGCGCGAUCUCUUCAAGAUGGCGGGCGUAUCGCUGCGCAUGAGCACUGCGUUCCACCCGCAGACUGACGGCCAAUCUGAGGUGGUGAAUAAGGUGAUCGCCAUGUAUCUUCGUUGUGUCACAGGUGACAGACCUCGCGCGUGGGUGGACUGGUUGUCGUGGGCGGAGUACUGCUACAACACAUCCUUCCACACAGCCCUGCGCGCCACACCUUUCGAGGUGGUCUAUGGGCGUUCCCCACCGCCCAUGCUGCCGUACAGCCCGGGGACGGCCCGUACAGAUACUGCUGAUGCCCUUCUACGCAGCCGGGACGAGAUGCUGGCUGAGGUGCGCCAACGCUUACUCCAGGCGCAGCAACUCUCCAAGAAGUACUACGACGCCGGCCACCGCGACGUUGAGUUCCAAGUCGGUGACUGGGUCUGGCUGAGGCUGCUGCACAGGACUACUCAGUCCCUGGACCCUCGUGCGCAGCGCAAGCUGGGGCCUCGUUAUGCUGGUCCCUUUCAGGUGCUGGAGCGCAUUGGGCAGGUUGCUUAUCGGCUACAGCUUCCGGAGAGCGCCCGCAUCCACGACGUCUUCCAUGUCGGGCUGCUCAAACCACAUCGUGGCGAUCCGCCGACUGCUCCUUCCACGCUGCCUCCAGUGGCUGAUGGUCGCGUCCUGCCGGAGCCGGAGACAGUGCUGCGUGCCCAGCUUCGUAGGGGCGAGUGGCGCGUGUUGAUCAAGUGGCGCGGGCUCUCCGCUGACGACGCCACAUGGGAGCUGCUUGAGGAGUUUCGCCAGCACUACCCCGACUUCCAGCUCGAGGACGAGCUGUUUGCGCAGGCGGGGAGAGAUGUUAUGACCGGCGUCUCUUAUCAGAGGAAAAAGCCCAUUAGUGGCUAAUGAAGGAGCCGGCAGUAGACAGGGCUUAAGGCCCAAGUUAUUAUUAUUUCCUAGUUGAGAGAUAGUUGUUUCCUAAUAUAGGGAGAGGAGAGUUAUAUAUACUUGGCUGUAAAGACUUUUUGGAUUUUAAGCAAGAGCAAUCUAUUAUUGCUCGGCUUCCUGUAGGGAGCCGGGAGACCUAAUUGUGCCCUAACCGCCACCUCCCUUCCCUCAUCUCGCUCAGCCACGGCGCCCAGGCGCCGACCUCCUUCCCCUCCGGCAGUUCACCACUACAAUCUCAGGUCCCUCGCCGGUAGACCCCGAGGUUCUACCAGGUCCCUUCACAUCAAAGAAUCAAGAAGUUUUUUGCUUUGCUCUGACAGGAUUUUUAUGGAAGUACACUGACAACAGAAUAACAGAACAGAAGAGAAUGGCUAUAGACAAA